GAAAUGCGAUAAGUAAUGCGAAUUGCAGAAUUUCCGUGAGUCAUCGAAUCUUUGAACGCACAUUGCGCCCCCUGGUAUUCCGGGGGGCAUGCCUGUUCGAGCGUCAUUUCACCACUCAAGCCUCGCUUGGUAUUGGGCAACGCGGUCCGCCGCGUGCCUCAAAUCGACCGGCUGGGUCUUCUGUCCCCUAAGCGUUGUGGAAACUAUUCGCUAAAGGGUGCUCGGGAGGCUACGCCGUAAAACAACCCCAUUUCUAAGGUUGACCUCGGAUCAGGUAGGGAUACCCGCUGAACUUAAGC
rnacentral:misc_RNA from 1 species